GGCUUAGUGGUGUAGUGGUAACACAGCUGCGCUAUAUGAGUCAGGAGGAACAUUUAGCAGAAACCCCUUGUUCGACUCAAGGCUAGGCCA